AGAUAGCAUGCAUGUCUAGUAUGACCGAUCCUUACUGCGAGACUGCUCAGGGCUCAGUACAUCAGUUAGAGUUUAUUCUGAUACUAUCUUUUUACUACUUGAAUAACCGUACUAGAUCUACAGCUAAUACGUGCUGAUAGGACUACCUGGGGGUAUUACUCUACAAAGUCUGUAUUUAUUAAAUAUAAUACCCCUGCUGAAUACUUUUUUUUUGAUGAACAAAAAUUCAGGUUUUACUUUCAUUUUUUUGAAGAAAAUGAUGACACAUUUCAUGGAGAUUCAUACUACCUUUGCUAAUGCCACUGGCCUUGAGCCGACUAUGAUUCUAUCAAAUUGCUGCCCUAGCAACUUUCUAUGGAACCAUAGACGCCUACCAUGGUUGUAACGGUCGACGCAGAAUUAGGGUUCGAUUCCGGAGAGGGAUCCUGACAGAUGGCUACCACUUCCCAGGAAGGCCGCAGGCGCGCAAAUUACCCAAUCCUGACCCACGAAGGUAGUGACUCUAACUACCGAUCCCCUUCUUGUUAAGAGUAUUGUAUGUUGCAAUGAGUACAAUUUAAACCCCUUAACGAGGAACAAUU
rnacentral:rRNA from 1 species